rnacentral:rRNA from 1 species
GAGUUUGAUCAUGGCUCAGGAUGAACGCUGGCGGCGUGCUUAACACAUGCAAGUCGAACGAACCUUCGGGUUAGUGGCGGACGGGUGAGUAACGCGUGGGAAUCUGCCCUCAGGAGGGGGAUAACGGUUGGAAACGACCGCUAAUACCCCAUAUGCCGAGAGGUGAAAUGAAUUUCGCCUGAGGAUGAGCCCGCGUCUGAUUAGCUUGUUGGUGAGGUAAUGGCUCACCAAGGCAUCGAUCAGUAGCUGGUCUGAGAGGAUGAUCAGCCACACUGGGACUGAGACACGGCCCAGACUCCUACGGGAGGCAGCAGUGGGGAAUUUUCCGCAAUGGGCGAAAGCCUGACGGAGCAACGCCGCGUGAGGGACGAAGGCCUCUGGGCUGUAAACCUCUUUUCUCAAGGAAGAAGAUAUGACGGUACUUGAGGAAUAAGCCACGGCUAAUACCGUGCCAGCAGCCGCGGUAAUACGGGAGUGGCAAGCGUUAUCCGGAAUUAUUGGGCGUAAAGCGUCCGCAGGCGGCCUUUCAAGUCUGCUGUUAAAACGUGGAGCUUAACUCCAUCAUGGCAGUGGAAACUGAUUGGCUUGAGUAUGGUAGGGGCAGAGGGAAUUCCCGGUGUAGCGGUGAAAUGCGUAGAUAUCGGGGAGAACACCAGUGGCGAAGGCGCUCUGCUGGGCCAUUACUGACGCUCAUGGACGAAAGCCAGGGGAGCGAAAGGGAUUAGAUACCCCUGUAGUCCUGGCCGUAAACGAUGAACACUAGGUGUCGGGGGAAUCGACCCCUUCGGUGUCGUAGCUAACGCGUUAAGUGUUCCGCCUGGGGAGUACGCACGCAAGUGUGAAACUCAAAGGAAUUGACGGGGGCCCGCACAAGCGGUGGAGUAUGUGGUUUAAUUCGAUGCAACGCGAAGAACCUUACCAGGGCUUGACAUCCUGCGAACCUUUAAGAAAAUAGAGGGUGCCUUCGGGAACGCAGUGACAGGUGGUGCAUGGCUGUCGUCAGCUCGUGUCGUGAGAUGUUGGGUUAAGUCCCGCAACGAGCGCAACCCACGUUUUUAGUUGCCAGCAUUUAGUUGGGCGCUCUAGAAAGACCGCCGGUGAUAAACCGGAGGAAGGUGUGGAUGACGUCAAGUCAUCACGCCCCUUACGUCCUGGGCUACACACGUACUACAAUGCUACGGACAAAGGGCAGCAAACUCGCGAGAGCUAGCAAAUCCCAUAAACCGUGGCUCAGUUCAGAUCGUAGGCUGCAACUCGCCUACGUGAAGUAGGAAUCGCUAGUAAUCGCAGGUCAGCAUACUGCGGUGAAUACGUUCCCGGGCCUUGUACACACCGCCCGUCACACCAUGGAAGUUGGCCACGCCCGAAGUCGUUACUUUAACCCUUGUGGAGAAGGACGCCGAAGGUGGGGCUGAUGACUGGGGUGAAGUCGUAACAAGGUAACC